rnacentral:rRNA from 1 species
AUGGAACGAAGCUUCCAGGUUGGCGAGGACGUGCUCCUGAAGCUUCAGCCGUACACACAGUCCUCCGUCGUCAAUCGACCCUGCGCCAAGCUGGCCUACAAAUUCUUCGGGCCAUUCAAGGUGGAGGCCAAGAUCGGGACUCCCGCCUACAAAUUGAUCCUGCCGCCGGACAGUCGCAUCCACAACGUCUUCCAUGUCUCCCAACUGAAGCCGUACACGCCCAACUACACCCCUGUCUUCGCCGAGCUGCCCAAGCCACCGGAUCUGUCCAUGGUGGAGACGGGCCCGUGGAUCCUCGACAGACGCAUGGUGAAGCGAGGCAACGCAGCAUUGGUGCAGAUUCAAGUGCGCUGGAACUCCGCUUCGCCCGCAGCAGUGACAUGGGAAGACUACGAGACGCUAAAGCUUCGUUUUCCGGCCGCCGCAAUCUGGCAGGGAUCGGCCGGAGCGCCAGGUGACGCUCCUUCUGAUGGAGGGGGAAAUGUCACACCUGCACCUGCAAGUGCCACGGUGGACCUGAGUAGCCAAUAG